rnacentral:lncRNA from 1 species
CUCUUCUUGGCUGCUGUUUCUGUUGUGAAAUGAGGAGCCCAUGUUUUCGCAUGGAUUUCCCGUGGAAGUCCUGUCCUGUUCCAGAGGGGACAAAAGUGCACCCUCCAAUGUGAUAAAUCUUCUGAUGAUCCAGAGGCUCUGGGGCAUAUCCUGGUGCCUCUCCUGCAGGAGCUGUGCCCUCAGAAGCUCUGGGCAGGAUGUUUCCAGCUAGGCAUGCUGAUCCUCCUUCAGACACAGAUGCCUGUCUGAGUCUCUCCCAGGCUGUUGAUACAGAACUCAAAGACAAUUCUGAACAACCCCUCAGGUUCUCUGAAGGGGCACAGACCCCGGGUGUGAACAUUGUGCCGGACUUGACAUGGUCUGUGGACUGCUGCUUCAGACACAGGAAGUCCUCGGAACUGCCUACCUGUUCUGCAUGCUCUGAGUCAGAACACAGAGACACUUUGGUGUGGCUUCUAGUAUUCAUGGUCCUCUCUUCUCAGCCAUGGCAGAGGUUCGUGUCACUUGCUGCCUGGUCUCCUAGGGGUUUCCUGUGCCCGUCCCCCCAGCCAUCUUCCAGGUGACUAUGGCACAGUCCAUUCUGCUGCAACUGGAAAGUAUAGAGAACCUGUACUGCUCAGAGCAGACGGCUGCUUCUGGAGGCACGCAGUCGGGAGCAUGCCCCGUCACUGUCCAGUUGCUGAAGAAAGCUUACAGGAAGUUCUAGGCAGGUCUACUUUCGGCAUCCUUGAAAGUAAAAGGUUUGGAGUCUAGGAAGGGCCACGCCACUGUGGAGAACAUAGUUCCUUUGGGUACAUGUAAUCAAAGUGUCCUCCCAAAUUAGUUUUCCUUCUUUUAUGAACAGCAUUUCUACUUUUAAAGAACAGUUGAGAAUUGAAAGGAAAACAGUGCAGUAGCUGGUGUGGCCUUUAAAGUGUGGUUCUGCCAGGUGGCCUGACUGCAUGUGCUGACACUGACCCACAUGGCUAGUGCUGGGCAGAGGUCUUUGCCUUCAGCACCCCAGAGAAGCUAACUCUGCACCCCUCUCCUUCCUCAGCGCUUGUUCAGGUAGCCCCAGCCAUGUGGCUUAUAGUCAUGUGCUGGCCUGUCAUGGGCAGUUGGCUACCUUCCAGAUGGCUGUAGAAAGACCAGGCAUUUUGAGGAAAGCCUAGAGUGGAGAGCAGGGACUUUCUUAGGAAGAACACAAGGCCCCUCCCUUCUGGAAGUGGAAAACUUCACAAGGAAAUUGGAGCCAUCUUUUAUCCCAGAAGCCUUUGCUGCUGCCAGGGCAAGUGGGCUGGUGUGGACUCUUGUUUGGGGAUGUUUGGAGGCUGAGGUUAUAUCACUCCUUAGCUAGCCAGGCCUUUAGUAUCUUUGUAAAAAGCAUGUAUUUAUAGUGUUUUAGAUUUUUUCUAACUUUUGUAUUUUACAGCAUUGUACCCCAUUGUUAAAGAGCCAUGUCCCCUCUUCUUAUAAGCGCCCUUCUAAUAAACUUUUCACCGUAAAGCUCCUGAGCCAGGAGCGCGGUCUGA